rnacentral:rRNA from 1 species
UGGGGAAUAUUGGGCAAUGGGCGAAAGCCUGACCCAGCAACGCCGCGUGAAGGAAGAAGUAUUUCGGUAUGUAAAGCUCUAUCAGCAGGGAAGAAAAUGACGGUACCUGACUAAGAAGCACCGGCUAAAUACGUGCCAGCAGCCGCGGUAAUACGUAUGGUGCAAGCGUUAUCCGGAUUUACUGGGUGUAAAGGGAGCGUAGACGGCUGUGUAAGUCUGAAGUGAAAGCCCGGGGCUCAACCCCGGGACUGCUUUGGAAACUAUGCAGCUAGAGUGUCGGAGAGGUAAGUGGAAUUCCCAGUGUAGCGGUGAAAUGCGUAGAUAUUGGGAGGAACACCAGUGGCGAAGGCGGCUUACUGGACGAUGACUGACGUUGAGGCUCGAAAGCGUGGGGAGC